rnacentral:rRNA from 1 species
CGUUAAUCGGAAAUUACUGGGCGUAAAGCGCGCGUAGGUGGUUAUGUAAGCGAGAUGUGAAAGCCCCGGGCUCAACCCUGGGAACGGCACUUCGAACUGCAUGGCUAGAGUGUGGUAGAGGGUAGUGGAAUUUCCUGUGUAGCGGUGAAAUGCGUAGAUAUAGGAAGGAACACCAGUGGCGAAGGCGGCUACCUGGACCAACACUGACACUGAGGUGCGAAAGCGUGGGGAGCAAACAGGAUUAGAUACCCUGGUAGUCCACGCCGUAAACGAUGUCAACUAGCCGUUGGGGAUCUUGAAUCCUUAGUGGCGCAGCUAACGCACUAAGUUGACCGCCUGGGGAGUACGGCCGCAAGGUUAAAACUCAAAUGAAUUGACGGGGGCCCGCACAAGCGGUGGAGCAUGUGGUUUAAUUCGACGCAACGCGAAGAACCUUACCUGGCCUUGACAUGCAGAGAACUUUCCAGAGAUGGAUUGGUGCCUUCGGGAACUCUGACACAGGUGCUGCAUGGCCGUCGUCAGCUCGUGUCGUGAGAUGUUGGGUUAAGUCCCGUAACGAGCGCAACCCCUAUCCCUAGUUGCUAGCAGGUAAUGCUGAGAACUCUAGGGAGACUGCCGGUGACAAACCGGAGGAAGGUGGGGAUGACGUCAGGUCAUCAUGGCCCUUACGGCCAGGGCUACACACGUGCUACAAUGGCGCGCACAGAGGGCUGCAAACCCGCGAGGGGGAGCCAAUCUCACAAAACGCGUCGUAGUCCGGAUCGGAGUCUGCAACUCGACUCCGUGAAGUCGGAAUCGCUAGUAAUCGUGAAUCAGAAUGUCACGGUGGAUACGUUCCCGGGCCUUGUACACACCGCCCGUCACACCAUGGGAGUAGAUUGCACCAGAAGUAGUUAGUCUAACCUUCGGGAGGACGAUUACCACGGUGUGGUUUAUGACUGGGGUGAAGUCGUAACAAGGUA